CAAUUAGUUACUAUAUUUGUCCAAAACGUUACCAAUAAUAAUUUUUCAAGAAUGGAGAUACAUCGAUGGGAUGAACAAUGGACUCUCGCAGACCAUAGCUGUAAUGAAUCAUCGUUAAUAUCACCAACUCAAUGGCUUAUAAUAAGUGCCUUAUUACUUUUCAUUUUAACAUUUUAUUUUUAUUUGAAAAAACUUCGUCAAACUUCAACUGUUUCCGUCGAGCAAGUACCUGAGCCAAGGCAACAAGAUUUUCCUCAAAACAAACCAAAGGAUUCUUCAGAUAUAACAAUUCAGGGUUCAGUUGAAAAUCGAGUCAAGCCCACUGUUUCUAUUGCUAUUGAUAACUUUUUUCAUUCAGAGAAAGCUUUAUAUGAGUUAGGAAAAGACACACUUUUUACGUUAAAAAAAGAGGACUUACCCGCUGGAUUUUUAGAUAUUUGUAAAGAAUGUAAAGUAGUGUUUAUUUCGAAGGUCGAAUCAGAUGAGGAAGAAAAGGCCGUACGAGAUUUUGUAGAAAAUAGGAUAAUCACCCCAUUUAGUGAAUCUAUUUCUCUUCCUUCACAUAGAAUGUUAUUUACAUCAACACUAGAAGGCCGCGUGUCAAUAAUUCGCCAUUUAAAGCCAACUCUUCAUAUUGAUACCGUUAAAUCUGUGGUUGACUCAUUACUCGGGAAGAUUCCCAAUUGUAUUCUUUAUGAAGUUGGAAAAGAUAAUAAUACUUUACAAAAUUGUGCGGAAGUAAUGCAAUCUAUGACAAAUAUUUCAAUUUGAAACUAGACUCAUUUCAAACAACACCUUUUCAUACCUAUUUAUUCAUAAAAAAAACAUGUUUGUAGUUUCAUGUCUUCAUUUUAAAAAAAAAAUUUAGUCUUAAAAGUUCCAUCGGAUCCUGUCCCUUUUUGUGCACAAGGAUUAUAACAGUCACGCUUUAUUUUUUUUUUGCAUGUAAACAAAAUACUAUAAGCUUCAACACAUAAAACCAUUUUUGAUCACCGUGUAUUUAUAAAUUUACUCUGAUAAACAGCUUGACUUGAAUUUUUUAGAGAACUGUACCACGUUUUUGUUUCCUAUUGUUUUUUUUUUUUAUAUUAGAAAAAAAAGUUUGUCGCGAAUUUUUUAUUCCUAAAAAAGAAUUACUUUGAAAAUUAUCUUAAUCAACUUAGGUUCUCAACUUGACAAUGAAUGACGUUGAUUUUGAUCAGCUUGAAGCUGUUUUAGAUAGUCAAACGAGUGUAGAUCAAAGUAAAACAAAGGCUUCUUCAGAUGUUUAUGACGACUGUAAAUCUACUGAAAAAAGUCACCAUUCAAAGGAAACAAAACGUUCACGUUCGCUUCAUCGACGUGAUGCUUCUAAUCAUCGUAAAUCCUGUUCCAGAACGCGUAGUCGGACACACUCGAUUCGAGCGUCCCGUAGUCGUAGUCAUUAUCGUAGUCGUCAUAAUACGCGGCGUCGCUCAAACGGACGCUCAUAUCAUAGAACGCGUUCAAGCCGUUACUCUUCUCGUCAUAUUAGCGAAAGUCCCAAAAGCCGUCGUGCUCGUUUAGAAGAACGCCGUCUAGAGGUUUUAAGAGAAACUGAAGAAGAAAGGCAGAAACAAGACGAAGCACGACGAGCGAAAGAAGAGGAAGAUAAAAAACGGAGAGAAUUUGACGAAGCUAGACGUGAUGAUUUAACUGUUUUAAUUUUAAAUUUAAGUUUGAAAGCAACGGAACGGGAUGUGUGGAAGUUUUUUUCGGAACGUGCUGGGAAAGUACGAGAUAUCCAAAUUAUUCGUGAUUCUCGUAGCGGAAAGUCUAAAGGUGUUGGGUAUGUUGAAUUUUAUUCGCCGCAAGCUGUUCUUCAAGCUCUUGCUUUGUCCGGGUCCUUUAUUAUGGAUAUACCGAUUAUUGUUCAAGCUUCCCAAGCUGAAAAAAAUCGGGCUGCUAAAGCAGCGAAGCAACAAGCAGCUGAAAUAACAGAAGGUGGUCCAAUGAAAUUAUAUGUUGGAGGCCUUACUGAGUCAUUAUGUUGUAUAACUGAAUCGGAUUUACAACAACUCUUUUCUCCAUUUGGUGAUAUUGUACAUGUUGAAUUACCAAAAGAUCCGUAUACAGGAGAUUGCAAAGGGUAUGGAUUCAUUCAAUUUCGUCAAUCUCAAGAUGCUCGUGAAGCUAUGGCAGCUAUGAAUGGUUUUGAUAUAGGUGGAAAAAAAAUUAAGGUUGGUUACGCAACAGAUGUAACACAAAGGGGAGGUCUAUCUGGUUUAGGUGAAAACGGAUUAUCCUUACAAAAUAAUUUAAGUACUGCACAAAAUGCCCUCCAGGCUGCUUUAAUGUACGCAGAACAACAAGCAGAUAAUGAACGUUUAGAUGAUGAAGGUGGUGGACUUUUGUCUGGUGUUAAUCCUCGUAUUUCUUUAAUGCAAAAACUUCAACGCCUCGAUACACCUAAACCUGGUACAAAUACAACAACAUCCAGUUCAUUUUUAACGUCAACCUUCGCUAAUUCGUCUUCAAAUAAUAACACAAACGCAAACACCUUUUCCGCUAAUGUGUGCCUUGAAGGACUUUUUACCGAAACUGAUGUAAAAUCUGAAGGGCCCACAUUUUUGGAUGAAAUCGUUGAAGAUGUACGCACUGAGUGUUCAAAAUAUGGCGUAGUCCUUCAGUUAUGGUUAAACCGAAAUAACGUCGAUGGUAAAGUAUGGGUGAAAUUUGGUGGUCCAGAUCAAGCCGUAAAAGCUCAUCAAGCACUUAAUGGACGUUUUUUCGCAGGCAAUAAAAUAACAGUGUCGUUCAUUCAAGACACUGUAUGGGCAACUAUCUGUGUUUAACAACGGUAUACAGAGACGUGUUUGUGUAAACUAGUAAAGAUUGUAAAUUUUUUUUUUUUCAUAAUUAAAGUAACGGUGCUAACCAGCUACCAAGGGAUAUACCCACAAGUAAACAAAAUGUAUACACGAGAACAAAGCCAUCCAUUUGACAAGGAAAAAAAAAAUAUACUAGUACGUCGAAAGGUCUCGGAAAGUAAAAUGCCUUGUAUUUUGGACGUCUUAUUCGAUUUAAGAAAAAUCAUCCACGAAACGGACACCAUUGUUUUAAAUUUGGCAAAUAACGUCCAGCAAAAUCACCAAACAAAAAUAUACCCUAAACAUUUUAUGAACAACAACAAUUGAAUAAAACGCAAGGAUGUUAUAAAUGGUUAAAAGUUUUUUUUUUUUUUAACAAAGUGACGAUUUUUUUCUCUCUAAAAUUUUUUUUUUUCAAAGGAGUAUUCUUACUGUCAAGAGUGUACGUUCAUAACUAUCGGGACUCCAUGCUAGAGGAGCAGUAGUAGGAUAAAUCUAUUUUAUUUUUUUAGGCAACGUAUCAUAAUAAAAAUGUAUAAUAAGAAAGAAAACCUUUUUCAAUAGAAUUCAAA